rnacentral:rRNA from 1 species
UGGGGAAUAUUGGACAAUGGGCGCAAGCCUGAUCCAGCCAUGCCGCGUGAGUGAUGAAGGCCCUAGGGUUGUAAAGCUCUUUCACCGGUGAAGAUAAUUACGGUAACCGGAGAAGAAGCCCCGGCUAACUUCGUGCCAGCAGCCGCGGUAAUACGAAGGGGGCUAGCGUUGUUCGGAUUUACUGGGCGUAAAGCGCACGUAGGCGGACUAUUAAGUCAGGGGUGAAAUCCCGGGGCUCAACCCCGGAACUGCCUUUGAUACUGGUAGUCUUGAGUUCGAGAGAGGUGAGUGGAAUUCCGGGUGUAGAGGUGAAAUUCGUAGAUAUUCGGAGGAACACCAGUGGCGAAGGCGGCUCACUGGCUCGAUACUGACGCUGAGGUGCGAAAGCGUGGGGAGCAAACAGG